rnacentral:rRNA from 1 species
UACGUAGGGGGCAAGCGUUGUCCGGAAUCAUUGGGCGUAAAGCGCGUGUAGGCGGCUGGGUAAGUCCGCUCUGAAAGCCCGGGGCUCAACCCCGGGAGGCGGGUGGAUACUGCUCAGCUCGAGUCCGGAAGAGGAGUGUGGAAUUCCUGGUGUAGCGGUGAAAUGCGCAGAUAUCAGGAAGAACACCAAUGGCGAAGGCAGCUCUCUGGGACGGUACUGACGCUGAGACGCGAAAGCGUGGGGAGCGAACAGG